rfam:Mortierella elongata AG-77 unplaced genomic scaffold K457scaffold_48, whole genome shotgun sequence.
GGAGGAUUGGCGCAAUUGGCAGCGCGUCCGUCUCCAAAGCGGAAGGUCGGGAGUUCAAGUCUCUCAUUCUCCA